AACAUGCCUUCCUGUCAACUAUGGUAUUUUUUUAGAGAGUACUGCCCUUCAUGAAACGGUUAUUUAGUGUACUGUAACCUAAACAAUCCAAACUGGUUCAAUGUUAGAAGCAGCCGUGCACAACAGAUUGGAUUCUUAAUACAGAUUUAUAGUGCAGAUUGUGUUUUACGUCAUGAACAGUGCGAGAUGUUUUCUUUGCGGCUCGAUUUUGAUCGGGUAACGGAUAAGAAACUAUUAGUCAGCGCAUAGAAAAUUAGUUAAUGUUGGUGUUUCUUGCAUUUGCAUCAACUAUGUUUUCAAAUAUGAAUGUAAAUAAAACAAUAUAUAUUUCGUAAGUUAUCAGGAUGCAGGAUCAUGCAACUUUUUUGUGUUCCACCUUUUAACUUUAAUGGAUUUAUCAUUUAUAGACGACGUAGGCGCCGUGACCUGGACGCAGAUUCUAAGCAAGAUGGGCCAAAAAUGGGGGUAGCUUAAGAGACUUGCCCAUAACAGACACGCCUGGAGGAAUCUGGUUGGCGGCCUAUGUCCCAGAUGGGACAACAGGCGAAGAAAAGAUGAACCUACUUGAUUUGAUAAACAUUUUUAUGUUUUUCAGUUUCACCUGAAGACGUUUCCCACCAACCAUCCUGUCUUGAAAGAAAUUACUUUUGAACCCGAUUUUCUGGUUUUUGCCACGAAUUGUUGAGAGACCUUCAGGAGAUGGAUGUUAAGCAGCUGUAUGUUCAUCUAGGCUCCAACUACUUUCUCG